rnacentral:rRNA from 1 species
CCUACGGGUGGCAGCAGUGAGGAAUAUUGGUCAAUGGGCGCGAGCCUGAACCAGCCAAGUCGCGUGAAGGAUGACUGCCCUACGUGUUGUAAACUUCUUUUAUAAGGGAAUAAAGUGAGGCACGUGUGCCUUUUUGUAUGUACUUUAUGAAUAAGGACCGGCUAACUCCGUGCCAGCAGCCGCGGUAAUACGGAGGAUCCGAGCGUUAUCCGGAUUUAGUGGGUUUAAAGGGAGCGUAGAUGGGUUGUUAAGUCAGUUGUGAAAGUUUGCGGCGCAACCGUAAAAUUGCAAUUGAUACUGGCAGUCUUGAGUACAGUUGAGGUAGGCGGAAUUCGUGGUGUAGCGGUGAAAUGCUUAGAUAUCACGAAGAACUCCGAUUGCGAAGGCAGCUUACUAACUCGCCACUGACAUUGAUGCUCGAAAGUGUGGGUAUCAAACAGGAUUAGAUACCCGUGUAGUC